UGUGAACAAACAAAGAGGCAAACAUCCAUUCUUGCCCCUUAUAAGUGGCUUAUCACAUCACACUAAGUUUAUUCUCUACUGGAGAAAGCUGUACAAAACCAUUCAGUUCAACCAAUUUGAGCAGAAUUAUUACACUAUUCGUAAUGAAGAUCAGUGUGAUCAUGGUUGUUGGGCUGAUAUUUAUCAACUUAUGCACCUGCAUGCCAAGAAAUGUGGCGAACCAUGAAUCUCACGAUACAGUGGUGCCACAGAAGGAAAUGCGCAGUCUGAUGUCUGGCACUGAUGGAAAAAACGGGCCUCCGAGCAAUGAUCACCAGUGCCCACUUGGAACCUACCCUAAUUGCCAAGGGAUGUCCCAGAAUACUCAAGAAGCAGCUCACGAUGUUGGAGGAAACUAGGGCAAACUGAGGGAUUAUGAGACGGAAUGAAUACCCCCAGUUUAUAUUGCUUUUA